rnacentral:rRNA from 1 species
GGCGAGCCUAACACAUGCCAACCGAACGGACGCCUAUUGAAACCUGCUGAUUUAUGAGUUAGUGGCGGACGGGUGAGUAACGCGUGAAAAACCUGCCCCAUACCGGGGGAUACCACUUGGAAAACGGUGCUAAUACCGCAUAAGCGCACGGGAGCGCAUGCUCCUGCGUGAAAAACUCCGGUGGUAUGGGAUGGACCCGCGUCUGAUUAGCCAGUUGGCAGGGUAACGGCCUACCAAAGCGACGAUCAGUAGCCGGCCUGAGAGGGUGGACGGCCACAUUGGGACUGAGACACGGCCCAAACUCCUACGGGAGGCAGCAGUGGGGAAUAUUGCACAAUGGGGGAAACCCUGAUGCAGCGACGCCGCGUGAGUGAAGAAGUAUUUCGGUAUGUAAAGCUCUAUCAGCAGGAACGAGACAAGACGGUACCUGACUAAGAAGCCCCGGCUAACUACGUGCCAGCAGCCGCGGUAAUACGUAGGGGGCAAGCGUUAUCCGGAAUCACUGGGUGUAAAGGGAGCGUAGACGGCUGAGCAAGCCUGAAGUGAAAGGCGGGGGCCCAACCCCCGGACUGCUUUGGGAACUGUACGGCUGGAGUGCAGGAGAGGUAAGUGGAAUUCCUAGUGUAGCGGUGAAAUGCGUAGAUAUUAGGAGGAACACCAGUGGCGAAGGCGGCCUGCUGGGCUUUAACUGACGCUGAGGCUCGAAAGCGUGGGGAGCAAACAGGAUUAGAUACCCUGGUAGUCCACGCUGUAAACGAUGAUUACUAGGUGUGGGGGGACUGACCCCUUCCGUCACGCAGUUAACACAUUAAGUAAUCCGCCUGGGGAGUACGGCCGCAAGGUUGAAACUCAAAGGAAUUGACGGGGGCCCGCACAAGCAGUGGAGUAUGUGGUUUAAUUGGAAGCAACGCGAAGAACCUUUCCAGGUCUUGACAUCGUGCGCAUAGCCUAGAGAUAGGUGAAGCCCUUCGGGGCGCACAGACAGGUGGUGCAUGGUUGUGGUCAGCUCGUGUCGUGAGAUGUUGGGUUAAGUCCCGCAACGAGCGCAACCCUUAUUAUUAGUUGCUACGCAAAAGCACUCUAAUGAGACUGCCGUUGACAAAACGGAGGAAGGUGGGGAUGACGUCAAAUCAUCAUGCCCCUUAUGACCUGGGCUACACACGUACUUCAAUGGCCGUAAACAGAGGGAAGCAAAGCCGCGAGGUGGAGCCAACCCCCAAAAGCGGUCUCAGUUCAGAGAGCAGGCUGCAACUCGCCUGCAUGAAGUCGGAAUUGCUAGUAAUCGCAGAUCAGUAUGCUGCG